UUAUGAUCAUAGCUACAGUCAGCAGACAACAAGCUAUGGACAAAACAUUCCUAGUCAGACUCCAUCACAAGAACAGCAGAAAGCAUAUGCAACUCCAAGUUAUGGGUCAGCUACUGUGUCAUCUCAACCAGAUGGUGCAAUUUCCUCCCAAUCAAGUCAAGUAGCACCUGCAUAUCCGCCGAGUGCGUAUACUCAACCAGUGGCCAACCCUCAAACGUACUGGACUUCUUCAAGCUUCACUGGCCAACAACCACCUCAGCCAGGAUAUGAUCAAACGGGGUACUCCCAAACUGCUUAUGGAGGGCUGCAACCAGGCCUAGUCCCUCCCCAGUCAAGUCUUUAUGGACAAGGUGGAUAUCCCCUUCAGCCAUCUCCUGCAGCAGCAAAUUAUGUUCAGGGGACACAUCCUCACGCUUAUGGACAGCCACAGCUGGAGACACAACUCCAGUCACAGCCAUCAAACAAUGGUCAUU
rnacentral:misc_RNA from 1 species